rfam:Eutrema salsugineum unplaced genomic scaffold scaffold_16, whole genome shotgun sequence.
GAGUCCCUUUGAUAUUGGCCUGGUUCAUUCAGAUCUUCUUGACCACACACGCACAUAUAUUGCAUUCUCUAGAUAUCUGAUUGAGCCGCGCCAAUAUCCCAGUGCUCUCU